rnacentral:lncRNA from 1 species
CUGGAAUUUAGCAGAACAAGUAUCCAGUGUGGGGUCACAGAGAUUCCGUUUGCCCCGCCCCCUCAUUAGCUGUGUGAACUCAGGCAAUUUGCUUAAUUCUCUGAACUUUGGAGUCAUCUGUUGCAAAAUAGGGAUACUUAUAACCAACUUCUAAAAUUGCUAAUAUAUAUGAAGCACUGGACAUUCUGUCUUCACAUAGUAGAAUAACAACUAAACUGCUGACGCAUUGAUAAAUGGCUAUCUCUUGGGCAUGUCUACUCAAAAUGGCAGCCAAGCAUAAUCCUCAAUGCCAUAACUCUUCGCUUUGAUAACUCCUUCUCCCACUUGUCUGCAAAGUGCUGCUUUACUGGCCUCAUCCCAGCAUCCACUGUAUCCCGCGGACGUGUCUCCUUCCUCUGAAUGUCAACGGAUUCAGUGCCUUCACCACUCACUUUGGGCUGAGAAUAUCUAAAGCUCACAGUACUAAUUAUGUCACUAUCAAGAGAAGCCUUAACCAAUCAGCCAAGUUUCCAGCAAGCAAUUUCUAGGAACUGCACGGUUCAAUUUGCAUAGAGACAAAAAGAAUGAAGAAAGACAAUUUGGAGAAGAACUGUUUUCAGCAAUAAUCCUACAUAUGAGAGUUUGGUGGACAAUGUACCUGCUCAAUUUGCUUCUUAAAAAUUCUCUCUGCUGAUUCAGCUGCAUCAGAGUGGAAGUUAGUAAACAACAGCAUGACGGUCCUCCUUGGAGACUCUUCCUGCUUGCAAAAGUUACACAAAAUAUUUUUCAAUACUUUGUAAUAAAGUGGGAUACAGGCAGAGCAAAUUCCCACAAUUCGUCAAAUAUAGUCAUUAAAAUUGUAAUAAGAUCUUGAGAUUUCCCAAUUCUUGGAAUGCAAAAAGCUAC